rnacentral:RNase_P_RNA from 1 species
AGUGCAACAGAAAUAUACCGCCAAAUUAUUGGUAAGGUUGAAAGGGCGAGGUAAGAGCUCACCGACUUGCUGGUAACAGCAGGUGCAAUGUAAACCCCACCUGAUGCAAGGUAAAAGUGACGCAUGGGUUGUUCGCUCUGUCACAUACACCGCUUGAACACAGCAGAAAUGUUGUGUCUAGAUAGAUAAUCAUCAAAUACAGAACUCGGCUUAUAGACUGGCUUAAAAA